rnacentral:rRNA from 1 species
CAUGCAGGCGGAUCGCUAAGUCGGGGGUGAAAGCCCGAGGCUCAACCUCGGAAUUGCCCUCGAUACUGGCGGUCUCGAGUCCGGGAGAGGUGAGUGGAACUCCGAGUGUAGAGGUGAAAUUCGUAGAUAUUCGGAAGAACACCAGUGGCGAAGGCGGCUCACUGGCCCGGUACUGACGCUGAGAUGCGAAAGCGUGGGGAGCAAACA